rnacentral:rRNA from 1 species
UACGUAGGGGGCAAGCGUUGUCCGGAAUCAUUGGGCGUAAAGAGCGCGUAGGCGGUCCGGUAAGUCCGCUCUGAAAGCCCGGGGCUCAACCCCGGGAGGCGGGCGGAUACUGUCGGGCUAGAGUCCGGAAGAGGCGAGUGGAAUUCCUGGUGUAGCGGUGAAAUGCGCAGAUAUCAGGAGGAACACCGAUGGCGAAGGCAGGUCUCUGGGCAUUAACUGACGCUGAGGAGCGAAAGCAUGGGGAGCGAACAGG